rnacentral:lncRNA from 1 species
UGAAAACCUGUUCAGUCCUUGCACUGUUGUAAGACUGAUUCCUGUGAAGAAACAGGCUGCUAAAAAGAGAACUGGUGAGCUCAAAGAAAGAUACCCACUUCUACCAUGUUCUAGGAAGACCUCUAUGUCAACAGUACAAAUAUAAGCAUGAUGCCAGAUGUUCUGAAAAUUUCCUUGGGUCCCUCUUUCUGAGAGUUCGGGAGUGAAAGGAGCUGAUUUGGUUUAAAGGUGUUGUCACUCCAUCACAGAAGGCCACAGGAUUGGUCAGACACGACCUUCCUUGGUGAAGACAUGCUGGCUGCCUUGGGUCACUCCGCAUGCGUUACAUCUGUAUACAUGGACCAAUGCUCACGUUCUCUGAAGAUUAAUAUUAUCCCUCAUUUGCAGAACCAUUAAAAACUUGUAAUCAAGCAAAUGAGAACGUAAAUCUGUACAUUUUGGACAGAUUUUCUACAAUCAUUCCCAAACAUAAUUUUUUAAGUGAUAGGAUCACAUUUCAUCUGAAUAUCAAGAAGUUGAAAUCUACAGCUGAAUGCAUCUCUUGUCAGAUAGUCCAUAUCUGAGAAAGGAGAUGAGAAGUAGCUUCUUGUGGAUUGCAGAUUGCAGAGUACUAACCCCAUAAGCAGAUUGCAGAGUACUUACUGAAAGAUUCAAGUUAAUGUUGACAGAAAUGAGAAAACCCAAGACAACCUACAUGAAUGAAACGUGAACUGAAAUAAAUAUUAACAGUGAUAUCAUCAAUAGGAAUCAAGCUUCUCCAGGAAGGAUACUCCAACAAACUAGAUUUCAUAUCACUUCUGACACUUGAUGUACUGCCUCCAAAAGGCAGUAUUCAUGGAAAUACAAGCUAUCUUUCUUACCAUGGGAAUGUUCCCUAAGUAUCUGCAUCAAUAUCUGUAAACUUUUGAGACCUGGAGAAAUAAAUACAGCAGUGUUGUAUUCUGACUUCUGCUUCAGUGAAGAUCUAACUGAAUUUCUUGAGGAGAUGAUUUUUAUGGACUACCAAAGGAGGCAGGCAUCCUGAAAUUACCUUAAGUCUUACAGAACAAUUGGGUGAUGCAAGUACAUUUAAGCAGUAUGUACUGUUGUAUGUAUUGAUGUAAUUCCAGGGCAGUCAAUUGAAUAAUUUAUCCUAGGGAAAAGUAAGACAGCAAUUUUUUCCACCUCCUCAUCCUGGAUACUCCUGUCAUAGUCACUAAACUGAGACUUGUGGUUACAGUGACAGAGGGGGAAAAAGUGCUGUACUUUCAAGGAUCAAAUUUCUGUUGAUGUCACUGAAACAAGGACAGUUUCAUUCACUGGAAGACUAUAAGAUUUUUCCUCUAUGUUAUAGGUAAAUAUGAGGUGCUCCAAAAGUAAUGCCUCCUAUUUUGUUAUGUUGUCCUGUGACAUCAAAAUGGGUGUUGGUGGCAUGGCAGUAGGGGUUGAACCUUCCCACCAAUAUUUCAUUAUUUUUUGUUGUCGUGAGACAGAUGGCAGCUGAAAAUUUGCUCUAUCAAAUAGUGUUAUUGUGCUUUUUUUGUGUGUGUAUAGUUACCAUGGUAAUAAAUAGAAAGCAUUACUUUUGGAGCAUCCUACGUAGAUUCUUCUGUUUUGGUUCUGGAUAUCCUUAUUUUUUGCUAGCAUGAUAUCUGCUCUGUGUUAGAAUCAAAGAACCACAGAAUCACCACAGUUGGAAAAGACCUCCAAGAACAUUCAGUCCAACCAUCCACCUACCAACCAUAGCUGCCCACUAAACCAUGUCCCUUAGUACAGCAUCUAAACAUGCGAUGGUAGUCCCAUAUAGAAGGGACUACCUCUCUUUUAUCUCAUAGGCACUAUGUCAACAUAACCUUCAGGAAAAUAACAAUAACUUUCUUAUCCCAAAUUCUAAUUACAAAAUGUAAUGACUGUAGGUGGAUAACGAUGGCUAAACAGGGACCAAUAUACAACACCGAGGAAACAGUAUUUUGAAAUGAGAAAUUAGUCUUCUGCUAUGAGGAAAAUAAAUCAGUCAUUCUAUAUUCAAUAUGGGAACUUCUGAGAACUUGAUCUUUGCUUUUCUAUAGCAAAGAAGAAAAAUGCACUGAAAUUUCAGUCUGCUUUUAUUUUCUAUGUUUUUGAGCAAAAAAAAAAAAAAAAAUUGGAACGUGAACCACUGAGUCUCAUACCACUGUCUUGGUAUGUUGUGGUUAUGGCAUGUGGGUUAUUUUUUUCUGAAAAUGAUAUAAAAUACUUGAUGUUCCUCUGUAUUUUAUUCUGAAUAAUCUUUUCUGAAUGGAACUUUGUCCUAAUACAAGUGCCACUAAAAUAAAGGUUAACCUCACUGACUGUAUCUAACUUCAGUGGAAAAGUUUUUAUAAAUUACCUUAUUGUUUCACAGGCCUUGGAGAGUGCUGUUGUGGAUGGCAAUGAGUGUGACUCAUCUGGCUAUAGAGCUGGAAAUGGAAAUGUAAUAUUAAAGAAAAUAAAUAACAAGACUGAAAAGAGAAUUAAAUGAGGAAAUGAGGCAUGAAUGCGUGAGACAGAGGUUAGUCUACUGCAUGUAAGUAGAUAUCACCUAAUUAUUUGGGAAGCAGAACUUAGUAAGGGAACUGCAGGUUCAUGAGUGAACUAGAGCACUCUAGGAUAUGCCUAGCAAUUUCACUUAUUGCAGCAGGUAGAUCUGCCAUUCCGUAGUGUAUAAGGGAAUAGCUUGAAAAUCCCUCUUUGAAAGAAAUGCAUUAUGAGUAUUGAUUGAUUAAUUUGUAUUGUAAGUGUUACGAUGGAUUUUUUGCAUUGCCUAUAAGCAGCUUAUCACAUUCCGAUUUCCAAAAUCAUUCUUUUAAAGAAGAAAAAUACCUUAAAUUUACUUUAAUAUACAAGAGCUAGGUCUUGAAACUUAACAUAAGCUUUGUUGCAUGAAAAUCUGAACUUAGAGCUAGCAAUACAACUGGGGCAGCAUCUCUCGGUUCUCAGUAGAAUCCAGGCAGCCCUUCUUACCCAGAAAGAGUAUCACUGUCCUCACUCUAACCCUAAAUUUAUGCAUUACCUUUGAGUAGCCCAGUUCUUCACUAUUCAUCAUGUACAACUGUUUGAGAACUCUUACACUUUUACAAAGAGAAAAGUAACUCUUCUUGAUCUGUAAAGGCAGCUGAGACUGAAUUUGGUGCACAAAGUUACUUUUCUACGUAAUUUGACAACCGAGUGUACCCUUACUGCUAUGGAAACGCUUUACCUUUCCUAUGUCAGUUACCCAAAUGUCACUACAGCACCAGGUCAUAAAACAAACCCCUCUCCAAAAUUUUAUGCAAAAAUUCAUUAGAAAGAAUGAAUAUCUUAAACUAUAGCUCCAAUAAAUGUAUUGAACUAUAUCUAUAAUAACUAAAUAAUGUGGAUAAUUGUACAUGCUGUUAAUGUGUAAUGAUGUGCUAAUACUCAUAAAAGCAUUGUUGCUGUGAAGUCUCUAAGAAGUUACAGAAGUAAGGCUUACAAAAUAAAAGCAAUCAAGAAGAAAUUCAAAAUAAAAACUAUCUUUCAAAAUUCUGGGCUUGUGUAUCCAUGUAAGCUACAAACAUAAGACAAAACUACUCAAUAAUUUUCAUGUGAAACCUUGUUAACAAUUUGUAUCAAUAAAUACAGGUUAAUUGAGGUGUGCUCAUUAACAUUUUACUGUAUUUGUAAAACUAUUUGAGACUUUUGCAGUUUGUUUUUUGGAACUGUGAUAUAGACAUUAUCAUACAAGCCUGUUAGAAAAACAGAAUAAAAAUUGCAUGACCAGCUUCUUAAAUGUAGAUAUUAACGUAUUAAUAUUCAUAUUAUAUAUUACUUAUAUAAUAUAUUCUUAUAUACAUGUAUAAAUAAUUUAUUUAAUAUAUUUAGAUUAUAAUUCUUUUGUCAAAAUAGAUCAUAUAGAGAGACCUUUUUAUUCUCCAGGUUUUAUUUUGGAUUUGUAAAGAAACACGAAGGGUAUAACUGAGGGUUAUGAGAUUUCUUAUUUUUUACAUCGCAGAUGUAUAGUGUUUAGGACAGUGUUCAUGGCAAGGCAGAGGUCUGGAGGCUAUUACAUAGACAAAUAACAGGAGGUUGCAAGCCUCUAAGUUCAGGCCCAGCUGAGUCAGGCCCCACAGAUCUGAACAUACAAGUGAGGUCAAAUAAUAAUGCUACUUAUUCAGAAACUUGCCAAAGCCAUUCUUGAUAAUGAUAACAUGGCAGAGGAAGCAGGGGCUAGCACAGGUAGAAUAUACUCUAAACUCAUCUGUUUAGCUUCAUACUUGUGGAAGUCACAGCACAGGUCCCUGUAACUAGAAGAGGGCUGUGUCUUUUUCUUAAGUCUGAAUAGACUUCUUUCCCAAUUUUUUUAUUAUUAUUUUUUUUAAUAGGAUGAUUUUUUUUAAUAGGAUUUGUGACACUUUCAAGGCAUUUUCCAAGGCCCGUAAAACAAGCUACUGAAAUAUUACUAAAUUUCUGUUCUUGACAGCUAAAAAGACUAAGGAUCUAAGAGUGUUUGUUAUUUGUCGUAUACAAGCCAGUUCAUUUCCCAUACAUGUAAAAUACAAAUACAGUUCCUUUUUAAAGGAAAUGAACCAUUUGAAAACUUAAGAACAAAAUAAAUCAUAUUCCCCAAUGUCUCAUUGAGUGCUGGGAGCCUGAAUCUAGAUUUAGAAAAGGCAAAUGAAAAUAUAUCCUGUAUUAAAGUGUCAAGAGUAGUUUAGAAAAUUUUGGUUGGAAAACAAAGUGCCAUUUAUAGUAUAUGUUUGGAUAUUCCCUGAAAAAAAAAAGGCACUAAGACUUCAGGGGUUGGACAGAGCAAGACAAUGAUGGCUGCCCUCCCAGAUAUGCCUAGCGUUCAAAGUAGCGUCCCUCUGCACAGGAGCCCUUACUGCCACAGCGGUAGAGGAAAAUUCAGUUUUUACACUCUCUGCUACAGUGCAGGAUGAGUUGUGGCUGUUCUACAUACCUUUGUUAUAUCCCAAAUCAGAUGUUUUUGUAAGAUGGGAUAGCCAGGUCCAAGAAUGACUCAAAUACAGCACUCACACUGCUGAGGAUUCAUAUGUAAUCUGCCAUCUUUAUCCUUUUACCUCUGGCAUAAACAUCUUCCACCAUCUUGAACUUCCAGAUGGGAAUCUAUUGUAUAGUGGGAAGGAAGAAUGGGAGAAAGAAUGCAGUGAGUAUUAUAAAAGCCUGUUUAUUAGAUGCUGUAACUCUAUAACUCUAUAACUCUAUAACUUUAUUUAUUUAUUUUUAAAAACUCCUUUUGAGGCACUGGCAUCAAACUACAGUGUCCGUACGUAAUCUAUUGUAUAUCUUCAGCAAGAGACUGAAGUCAUAUAUGCAGAUUUAAGAGUUCUGAUUUGGCCAGUCAUAAAAGUGUCAAAAAACAACCAAAAUAUGAAGUAAUCGCUAUAAAUGAGCAGAUUACGCAUACAAAAAAAGACAUAGGCAUGGAUCUGGUAUGUCUAAAUAUUUGGAAAAAUGAAAAACUGAUAACUACUUAAUUAAAACUGCAAUACUCCCAGUUUUGAAAGGCAGUAUGAAAGUUCACUAAGAUACUUCUUACAAACUCCUUUGAUCAUGAAGCACCAUUCCUUGUUAAACCGCCAUAAUACACAGCAAGCAAGACUGGAGACAGAAGUUUCUGCAUUUUCAUGUCCAUUACCGGCUGUUUUUCAUGCCACCCUUUACUCCCUAAGCCACAAAACAGAAAACAAAGGCCUUCUGACCAUCUGAUGUUUGAUUUCUCUUCUCAGAAAAUAAACCGUGAUCCAACAGCACUAUAGGUUACAGGUAGUUUUUUUGUGUGUUUGUUUGUUUUGUUGUGUUUUUUUAAUUCACUCUUAAAAUAUCAGCUGUGGUUAAUUAAUCAAACUUGAAUGCACUGUCUUUAUCAUUAAAAAAAAAAAAAAGAAGGUAUAUAUUCUUAAGGAUUUUUCCUGAAAUACUUUAAUUUAUAGAAGUAUAGCAGUCUAACAGAAUCUAAGUGCUAAAUAGGUCUCGGCUGCUGUUGGUAACUGUGCUCAUAUUUGAAAUCUUUUCUCCCUCAGCAAAUAUUCACCAAAUAAAGUGAACAGCCUUUCUUGUGUUUACUUCCUUGCUAAGACAGAUGCUGCCUUAUUAUCGGUAAACAAUCUUCUGAUAUAAAAUACUAAGUGCAAAGCAGAAUGGAUCUGAAUAUUGAUAUUUGAAAGCUGCAGUUGGUCUGUUCCAACAAAAGAUGGCACUGCUGUUUCCUUCAGAACUGUAAGGUCUAUUCCUUGAAAUUAAAGACUUUUAAAACAGUUCCCUCAUGUUUGUCACAGAAUACGCUCAUUGAGAUUGGUAUUUGUUAUUACUUAGCUACCAAGUUGGCCUUAGACCUUUAAAAAGCAUAUAUAUAUCCACAAGAAGUCCCAGCUGGAAAAAACUAAGUGCCAAUAAUUCACAAAAUACUCUUGCAAUUUUAUCUGCAUUAACAACCUCUUGGAGUCCAAUUUAAUCUUGAUCAUUAUUUUAUGGAAACGGUUUUGUAACAAAUAAGAAAUAAAAUGAAAAUAUUUUUGAAGGUUCUCUCAGACCUGCCUUCUUUAUGAUAUAUUUAUAAACAAUAUUAAUUCAAAUGCCCUUUGAUCCAGGCACACCACUCCUUGACAUUUUAUGCCGAUAUUACACCUGUACUCCAAAUAAGAUUUUACACAACUCUGAACUUGUCCCAUUGCCUUAUAUCAAACAAGUUAGUUUUGUACUUCAGAGCUACGCAAAAAUUAGGUACAAGUACUAAUCCCACAAAUACUAUAGAUUAAAAGUUAAGAUGACAACAAGGAAUGAAUCAAAUGUACUUAGUGUGAAAUACACUGCAUAUCCCCAAUUACAAAAUAAAUUUGCAGUAGAUGUGUGUUCCAAAUUAAAGCAUCUACCUGUUACCAUGACUAAAACCUAAAAAGAGAAUAAAAGCCAAACCCCAGACAGUAAUAAUCAUAGUAAUAAUAUGUAAAACACAAGUAGUCAAUUUAGAUAAAACUAAAUUAAAAAAAAAAAAAAUCAAUCUAUUCAGCCUCUUGUAGGAAUACACAAAAAUGAUUCCUUAUUUGUCAUCACCUUAUUCCAAUAUGAUCUGAAGUAUGUAUUUUAGCCUAAAUGACAUCAUGAAAAACUGAAAUGUCCCAAGUUAUCCAGUAUGCUUUAUGUUAAGUGGAACCAAAAAAAUUCAGAUGUGUUUGGAUAAAAGUUACAAUAAAUUCUGAUACUUAGGGAGCUUUUUUCCUGACAUUUUUUUGGUGAUAUUUCUGUAUGUCGGAAGCUACAUUUCAGAUAUGCUUUCAGCUUUCAUUCUGGGUUUGUUUUUCUAAAAAUACAGUCAUGUUAUGCUGUAAGAGAACCUUUCUUGUUCAUUUUCCAUCCUUUCCAUACUUUUCUCCAAAACAAGGGUCAAAAAAAUAAAACCUGCCAGGCAAAUUAUCUUGUAUUCUUGAAGCAUCUGAAGAUGAGAAUAAAGGUUUUUUUUUUUUUUUUUUUU